rnacentral:rRNA from 1 species
UACGAAGGGUGCAAGCGUUACUCGGAAUUACUGGGCGUAAAGCGUGCGUAGGCGGUUUGUUAAGUCUGAUGUGAAAGCCCUGGGCUCAACCUGGGAACUGCAUUGGAAACUGGCUGACUAGAGUGCGGUAGAGGGGUGUGGAAUUCCCGGUGUAGCAGUGAAAUGCGUAGAUAUCGGGAGGAACAUCUGUGGCGAAGGCGACACCCUGGACCGGCACUGACGCUGAGGCACGAAAGCGUGGGGAGCAAACGGG